GCCGCCCUAGCUCAGUUGGUAGAGCACCACUUUCGUAAAGUGGGGGUCCCGAGUUCGAUCCUCGGGGGCGGCU
rnacentral:tRNA from 2 species